rnacentral:rRNA from 1 species
GUAGGGUGCAAGCGUUAUCCGGAAUCAUUGGGCGUAAAGAGCUCGUAGGCGGUUCAGCAAGUCGGCUGUGAAAUCCCGAGGCUUUAACCUCGGAACUGCAGUCGAUACUGCUGUGACUAGAGUCCGGUAGAGGAGAAUGGAAUUCCCGGUGUAGCGGUGAAAUGCGCAGAUAUCGGGAGGAACACCAGUAGCGAAGGCGGUUCUCUGGGCCGGUACUGACGCUGAGGAGCGAAAGCGUGGGGGUAGCAAACAGGAUUAGAUACCCUGGUAGUCCACGCCGUAAACCGUUGGACACUAGGUGUGGCGUUCCGACCAACGGGUGCCGUGCCGAAGCUAACGCAUUAAGUGUCCCCGCCUGGGAGUACGGCCGCAAGGCUA